CGGAAAAGCGGCGAUUAAAACAAAGGCAUUGUGGGGGCCGAAGUACACGAUGCUGCACUAGCCAGAGCGCCCGAACGCUGAAUACUGUGCCCUCCUUAUUUUCAAUUGAGAAACAUUACUGCUGUAUGGUAUAGCAAACAUCAUUUUCUUCUAGCAUUGUAGUGACAAGUGCUUUCUCAAGCAGUGGCAUUUGAACUGAGGCUGAAAUGACCAAAAGAAUCCUGGCAUGAAGACAGAGAAUUCCAGAAAAAGAACCAGCAAGUAGGAAGCCUUUGUAGAAACUUUACUUAAGUGAUGAAGCUGCAUUACCUCCCCAAGGAAGAUAUUGAACUGAAUAUAAUCCAAACUGGUAGACCCUCUGAAGAAAACCACACUUAUACUGGUCACAGUAAUCUGAAGCUGUAAAAGGUCUCCAGUUGAUAUGCCUUUGGCCAGCAUUACAAGACAAGACCUUGACAGGUUUAAAAACAACAACAACAACAAAACAAAAAAGAAAAAAAAAAAGAUGAAAAAUAUCUAUGUUUAAUGUCCUUUGAAAAUCACAGUAACAUUUUACUUUAUGCAUCUCAUAAGAUUGGUAUUAGCCCAUAAUAAAUUGGGAUGGAAUUUGCUAUACUUAUUACUAAAAGAAGGAGCACCACCUCAUGUUUUAACAUAUUCUCCAAGAAGACACAAGCAAGUACAAGGUUUUUUAAAAAUUGAGUAUCUGUAUACAUUAAAAAAUAGCUACCCACGAUUCCUGCUGAACCUAUGAGAGACUGGAAGUUUUACGCAUCAUUUUCUGACUUUACACUUUCCUCUCAUGGACAAGAAUAGUAUCCAUGUCAUGAAGAAGAAAA